UGCCAGCCAGGUAGAAGGGACUGAUAAAAGGCCGGUUGCCAGGGAGUGAUCCCAGCAGAGAGAGGCUGGGCAUGAAAGGAGGCGGUGAUGGGACUCCAGAGAGCUCUGUCACCCUCUUUCUGCCAUGUGAGGAAACAACAAGAAAUUGGCAUUCUGCAGCUCAGAAAAGGAUCCUCCCUGGACCCCAACCAUGUUGGCAUUGUGAUCUUAGAGUUCCCAGACUUCAGAACUGUGGAAGCCAAGUGAUGGCCAGGGUCACAGUGAGCAAAUGGCAGAUGGGAUCUUGCAUCCUAGGUUCUCAGAACCUACAGCCUGGAGGUGGAGUUAAUGGUCACCACUUCCUUUGAAUGCAUAGGACAACAAGCA